GGUGUGCCCGAAAGACUUCCACAGCUGCAAGAGGCGAGAAAGGGAGUUGGUCAAGACUUCCCUUUGGCCCCUCCUGCAGACGGGCUUCGCAGCGUGCAAGCCGCCGCCGCUGCUGCAGGGUUAGUUAAAAGCUGCUCCCGCCGCCGCCGCUGGGAGUAGGAAUAGUAUCCAGUGACAGGAAAAGUCUCACAGAAAGCCGCCAUCACUACCACGCGCCUGCUAAUAGACGCGCACAAGCUCUCUCUGAACCUCGAAGGCAACAAGGCACACAGCAAAGAGCGGCGCGCGCUUUAGAACGCCAGGACCCGGGGGACAGCGCGAGCCCAAGCUCCAAAAGGAUUAAAAGAAAACCUUGCCCUUUUCUACGCCUUUGGACGUUCUAAGCAGCAGCAGCAGCAGCCAGAAUUCCAGCAGCUCUUGUUGACUUGGGAAAUCCUCCGCUGUGCUGCAUUAAUUCCCAACAACACCAGGCGUGCCAUAUUAGAGAGCACCAUUAGACCUAACCCGUGCAAGCCCCCGGGCGAGUGGACAGAAAAAGUGAAGCCCAGGCCAUCGUCGGUCCUGGAGCAAAGGAACAGCAACGACCCUACAGAGAGAUUGGCGGGCUGCGCGGCUUUUCGAGACAUUACGCCCACUGUGUGACGCGCUGCGUUCGACGUAGAAGCUGUGGGGAGGGAGGCGUUGUGUUUUCAGUUCCUGGUGUUGGACACGUUUCCAAGGGACUUGGGAGCUCGGCUAGAAAAAGAGGAGGACUGAAUGAUCAGCACUCCCAACAUGGAAAAUGUGGAUAACUGUAUGCAAAAAUGGAAAGAAAGAAAAAACCAAUUUGGCAACUCUCUGCAUCAGACUUUUAUGCAAGUUAGACAUAGCACAGCCUUGAGCAAUGAGCUGCUUUAUUUAUCUUCACAAAUCUGUGCUUUUCUAAAAAUUGUUAACAAUGAUAAUAAACAAAAUCCUUUUCUGUUUUGAUCUAA